UGUUCACAUCUCCACCACCCCCUGUCAAGGUGCUCACACGCCAGACCUCAUGUUAAAAUAAACCAGCGUUCCUGUUUGCUUGUUCCUGCACAACAAAAGUGAGUCGUCUGCUGCGGAGACAGCCGAUGCUUCUGGCAGCGGCCUGAAAUGAAAGAGGAGCGUGGAAUCGCAGGAGGAAUGUGCGUUUGGCAGCAGAAGAUGCCGUCAAAAUAACUUGAAAGCAUCUUGAGGAGCGCCACCCUGUCGACACCGGCGACCACGUUGGCCGCGGACCAACUUGAAGCCUCGCUUCUCUUCCAAGAGGCUACUUUGGCUCUUGCUCACAUGACCUGCUGGAACGCUGCGAAGCUCAAGACGACCCACUUGUGAGCGACACGACCUUCCCACAAAGCCUCCAUUCCGAUGCUUGGAUCUAUUUGGAGGGAACGACUCCGCCAGGACGAGCGGCACUGAAUGCAAUGAGCAUCCACGCAGCGUUUGUGGCUAAAAAGGCCUUCAAAUGUCAUCAUGACUAUUCAAGCGAAGACAAUGUCAAGAGAAUCCGUUGUCUACCUGUCUGCACUCUGCGUGCUGGAGCGGCCAUGACCACGGACUAGGGCUGGACAAUCAAUUGAAUUUUAAUCUCAAUGUUGGCUUCUCACCAUCAAUAAUCACUAAACUCAACAACAAAAAAAGCAAGGCCAUAGAAUUCCCGCAUUAAACGCGGACGGAUCACAUAAUUGUCCGAUAAAACCGUUAAACGCAGAUUGUCAGGGAAAUCGACAUAAAUGUGAGUGAAAUGCUGCCACUGUGAGGAGAAGGAAUGUUUGACUGGUAAAACAACAGGUCCUGGACCGCUCAUUCAUCCCAGCGCUGCAGUGUGACUUCAAGGAUUUAUUGAUCCGAGGCAGAGGCGAGUCCUAAGAGCAAACUGGAUUUGUUGUUUGCUAAAAGCGAGGAGAGAGCCAAAAACCUUCCUGCGAGCUGACUACUAUCAUCCAUCCCGGGGACGACUCAAAGAGAUUAAGGAAAAUGACUCUACUGGGUCGGGCCAAAGGCUGCAGGAACCAACAUGCGGAGGACAUCCUGUGAUGACUGGAGUCUCUUACACAGAUAGGUGGGGACAAGUCCAAGAAAACAUUUAUACAUAAAAACUAUCCAUCGAGAAAGUCUUCGGGCAGUUAAAGAUGGACAGUUUGCCUUUGCAUACAAAGUGCAAUGGCGGACAAGAUUUACACAACCAGUAAUAAAACGUAAG